AGGAGCUCACCCUGGAGGCUGUUUCUUGGUUGUGAUUAAACAUUUCCUAGAAUGAGCAUUAAUAGUAGAAGAAAAAAUGGUGGAGUUCUGACUAUAAAAUAAAAAUCCAGACUAAGAAUUUUAUUUUUAGAAAACUUAGGAUUUACCCUGCUUCUACAAGUGUACACCUUCCUGACCUGGCGCUGGUGCCCCUUGACACAGACAUACACAAGCCUGCUAGGUACUUUGCAGUUUAGUGUCAAUAAUCAACACUCCGGAUGGUUGAAGGCUCUCAACAUCUUUUUGGAAUCAACUAUUUCACAAGACCAUGUGGAGGUUGGAAGACGGAGUUUGGCUACACUUGAAUCGCUGUGUAUAUGCUUAAUAAGUAAUGUCAUAAUUAAGCGUGUAUAACAGCAAUAAGCUGUGUUGUCUUUACUGAGAAUUGAGGAAUAUUGAUCCUUCAAGAAAGUGGUUCAUAUUCAAUUUCAAAGUAACCUGAAAUAAAUGAAAGAGUGCUGAAUUUCGAGGCUGCCUCAGGUACAUAUCCAUCAGAACACAUGGCCUACUUCACCCUAGUUUUUCUCUGAUUCUGCUAUCGUCAGUGGAGGAUGACAGGCACCUCACUGUUGCAUCUCUUUUAUACACUCCCAGCACAAUGGAAUGGAGAAGUCUGUGGCUGGAAAGCCGCUCCUGGGAUCAGUCAGUAUUCUACUGACUCAACUAUCAUAAUCCAUUGAAACUGAGAAAUGAGUGACACUGGCACUUUCAUGGAAACUAUGGUUGAGUGAUGCAGAAUAU
rnacentral:lncRNA from 1 species